rnacentral:misc_RNA from 1 species
UACUGGCAGGAUCAACCAGGUAGCAUUCCUUCGCGACGCCGACGCCCGCAUGAGGCCCGACAAGCCGUGCGGCCGUUGGACGCUCAAGACGGGUGCGGCAGUCGUUCGUGUCGAUGGAUAAAAUGCAUUGCUUGGGCAAACGAAGGCCAACAGACCCUGCGCCCACGCAUAACAUUCCGCAUCCGAGAGCACGGGCAGAGCACCUCAUGGGCCAAGGCAACCACGCGAGUGGGCGAGGCAUGCCAGGAACACGAGGCUCGCCUUGCGUCCACCCCACCACCCG